GAAACUCAGUUGGUUAGAGUAUGGUGCUUAUAAUGUCAAGGUUGCAGGUUUGAUCCCCGUAUGGGACA
rnacentral:tRNA from 1 species